AGCCUUAAGCUUGUCGCCUUUUCGAAGCACUGACAGAUGACGUCUGGUUCUUCUGACAUAAUUUAUAACUACAGCAAUGGUCCUCUCCUUCAACCCCUGCCUUUCGGAUAUAUGCUGUUAAAAUGGACAUCAGAAGUGAAUUUUUGGCAUCUCUAUGAAAAUGAUGCCAAGUUUGUGGCAAGAGAAGAAAGAAAGAGCCAAGACCUGACAUCAUGGAGGAGUUCCGUUCCAUUCUAGCCUGGGAAAAUGGCCGGAGAAUCAAGAGCCAUUUUGUUUUACCAUCACCAAGACUUAUGUAUGUAGAGUCAUUCAUGAGUUCCAGUCCUCCCUACUCAAGGACCUUGUUGGACUAUCUUCAGUGCCACACCCCCUCAAAGCCACACCCCAGAGCCUCGCCCCUGUUUCCACUCUACUGCUUGGCCUUCAGGUUCACAAACCCCUACCUGUAGGUGCACCAAUCUUUGCCUCUGCAUCUGAGUGACAAGGAAGCCGUCAGACGCACAAUAAGUGGAUGGCAAAAUAAAGUCCAAGCUCUCGUUCAACAUUAGACUCAAGAUGUCUCCUGGGGUUGCGGCAGAAAAUAAAUGACUGAUGCAAAGCCUUCUUUCAUCAAGCCAAAAUUGGAGAUGGCUCCUGAUUCCAAUAAAUUGGGAGCACAGGCCUACGCUACAUUUUUUGCUUGAAAUUCCAUACCUGCAUCUGCGGAAGCUCCGUUUACCUGCAGUUGAAUGGACUAUUAAGUUACAUGUACAUGUAAUCAACAUCAACCAGAUUUAAACAAGAGCUAUGCUCCAGAUUUUAACCUGCUCUCUGAUACACCACUGCCCUUGUCUACUCUAGCAGCUCGGAAUAGAUCAGCUCACCUGUGACCUAAUAGAAACCGGUAAUCAAGAAUUCAAGCUUGAUUCAACUUUCAACUGAUCAGAUCAAGCCUGAUGCCCAGAGAUUUGAACCACUGUGAAUCUUCUACCACUGGUACCAAUAACAUCUUCCCAUUGCCCCUGACGACUGGACUGCAGCAGCUCCGAACAUCAGAUCAGGGUCCCAUACCAUGAAGCUAGUCUAUUGAUCAUAGGGCUGAUUUUUAUGAUUAAUCACACACCACAAUCAAUGCAAUCAGUCAUUGAAAUCAGCCCCAUAAUCAAUGCAAUCAGUCAUUGAAAUCAGCCCCAUAAUCAAUGCAAUCAGUCAUUGAAAUCAGCCCCAUAAUCAAUGCAAUCAGUUAUUGAAAUCAGCCCCAUAAUCAAUGCAAUCAGUCAUUGAAAUCAGCCCCAUAAUCAAUGCAAUCAGACAUUGAAAUCAGCCCCAUAAUCAAUGCAAUCAGACAUUGAAAUCAGCCCCAUAAUCAAUGCAAUCAGUUAUUGAAAUCAGCCCCAUAAUCAAUGCAAUCAGUUAUUGAAAUCAGCCCCAUAAUCAAUGCAAUCAGUUAUUGAAAUCAGCCCCAUAAUCAAUGCAAUCAGACAUUGAAAUCAGCCCCAUAAUCAAUGCAAUCAGUCAUUGAAAUCAGCCCCAUAAUCAAUGCAAUCAGACAUUGAAAUCAGCCCCAUAAUCAAUGCAAUCAGUCAUUGAAAUCAGCCCCAUAAUCAAUGCAAUCAGUUAUUGAAAUCAGCCCCAUUAUCAAUCGGUAAAGCUUUGUGUUACGGGGCCAUGAUCAUCAGCUCAGCUCACCUGCAAAGCUUGGAUGCGUUGCUACCAGAUCAUCAGCUCACCUCACCUGCAAAGCUUGGAUGCGUCGCUACCAGAUCUUCAGCUCACCUGCCAAGCUUGGAUGAGUAGUAACCAGAUCAUCAGCUCAGCUCACCUGCAAUGCUUGGAUGCUUAGCAACCAGAUCAUCAGCUCAGCUCACCUGCAAAGCUUGGAUGCUCAGCAACCAGAUCAUCAUUCAGCUCACCUGCAAAGCUUGGAUGCGUCGCUACCAGAUCAUCAGCUCAGCUCACCUGCAAAGCUUGUAUGCGUCGCUACCAGAUCUUCAGCUCAGCUCACCUGCAAUGCUUGGAUGCAUAGCAACCAGAUCAUCAGCUCAGCUCACCUGCAAAGCUUGGAUGCGUCGCUACCAGAUCAUCAGCUCAGCUCACCUGCAAAGCUUGGAUGCAUAGCAACCAGAUCAUCAGCUCAGCUCACCUGCAAAGCUUGGAUGCGUCGCUACCAGAUCAUCAGCUCAGCUCACCUGCAAAGCUUGUAUGCGUCGCUACCAGAUCAUCAGCUCAGCUCACCUGCAAAGCUUGUAUGCGUCGCUACCAGAUCUUCAGCUCAGCUCACCUGCAAUGCUUGGAUGCGUCGCUACCAGAUCAUCAGCUCAGCUCACCUGCAAAGCUUGUAUGCGUCGCUACCAGAUCAUCAGCUCAGCUCACCUGCAAAGCUUGGAUGCGUCGCUACCAGAUCAUCAGCUCAGCUCACCUGCAAAGCUUGGAUGCGUAUCAAGUAGAUCGAUCAAGACAAGUCAAGGAUGUCUCCAUGGAGGGGAUCAGAUGAAAAUGUCAACAUUGUUAGACUAAAUAUGGUUGCAAAUGAGAGUGAGUGUACAAUGUUAUUCAUGAGAGCAAAACCCUACAAGGUUCAUCUGGCAGAAGUGGCCCAACAAGAUGGAGCAAGAUUAUAAGGAAGUCAUCAUGAUAGAGGAUUAACUCAGCAUACUCAGGUCAAAGGUCAAGAAGGUGUCCAGAAAUAUGCCACCAGCGCCAUUAUAACAAGGGAGUGAAUGCUAGAAGAGAGACGAACGGAUUCUGAUCCUUGUCAUCUUGCCAAACGUAAAGGACCUAAUGACUUUUCAACAGAGGCAAAGGAAACUGAAGGCUGUGAAAGCACUGAUUGAAUUCAUGUCACUCAGUGUACAACAUGGAUCCACCCCCUAUCUGGUGCUAACCAUCUUCUACGAAUAGAUUAGAGAGCUGGGGAGCGUUUCAUCAACAUUUAUGUUCGACAAGUUUUCAGAUUUGACAACUUUCCCCAAUUCUGAUUGGCUGAGAGGUACUGUUGCUAUGGUAAUUGUCGGAUAAAACAGGACUUGUCAGAUAAAAUCCUUUCAUGAAACGCUCCCCUGGUCUACCAGAGAUGAGAACAUGACCCCAAUCCUCGAGUUUUCAUCUACACGGAAUGUCUGGUGUGAAGGUCUUUGCUGAAGUAUGCUCAACAUAAGAAUGGAUUUGACACCGAAAUCUUCAUAUACACCCUCCAUCUUGUGUUAAUAUUGUAGCAUUCAUGAUAGAGAUAGUUUACAGGGAUAUUCUCUUGACACCAUUCAUUAUCUACACUCUAUGUCUGAUGUUAGCCCUAUUUCAACUGGGCUUUUAAAGAUUUAUCCGUUAAAGAGUGUAGAUGAUGGAAAAUGGUUAAACCUUAGUAAGAUAUUAGUUGAAAUUUGAUGUAAAUUAUCGAGACAUUUUUAGUAUGAAAUAUGUGACUUGCAAAUGCAUUCAUUACUUAAGAUAGAACCCAUUUAAAUUUGAUGAAUAUUGUGUAGCUCUGAGGAGCAGGUCCAAGCUAUUAUAAUUUUAAAAUAGUUUUAGGAGAUAUUUGUGUAGUUAAUAGUUAACUAUAUAACUUUUGUAUUUUUUUAGUUUGUAUUUGUGUUUGUAUUUUACUUAAUAUUUAAAUGUGAACUCUAAGGUUUUCCAGAGUUAUUCCUGAUUGAGUUUUAUCCGUUUUUUUUUCUUUCUUCUUCUUUCCCCCUCUAGAUCUACUUGUCGUACUACUCAAUGGAGGGGAAGGGGGGUUGGGUUGGGGUUGGGCUGACUAUUCUGCAAAAGUGGACCCAAAGGUUUUCCAGAGUUUUUCCUUAUUGAGUUUUAUCUCUGGUUUUUUACCCUGGAUCUACUUGUCGUAGAACUAGUCGGGAGGGGGUGGGGGUUGGGGUUGUCUUAGCGCAAUAAAUCUAAAUCACAAAAAGAUUUUGUAGCAACAUAAAUUACAUAAUCAAUGGAAUCAUUCCUUUUUUUAAAUAACUAUACAAUAUGGUUGAUUGGAACACUUGACUGCCAAGAUCAUCAGAGGAAAAAAGUUUGUAAUAUUAAUGUUUUUAUUUUCAGUAUUACCUAUUUCAAUUGCCAAUUAGAGAAAAGGGUAUUUCAAAUGUACAGAUAUCAUGUGUUUGACAUUGUUAAUCUUGAAUAUUUUUUGUUUAUACCGUACCUAUCAGCCACAAGCGCAGCUCAUUAGCUUAUUAAAUUGAUUAGACUGUUCAUUUUUAUGUGACAAAAUAUUUUAGUAUCAUCUGCAUAAGCAAUUUGAAUUUGAUAUUUCAGAGGAAUCAUUAAAAUGGUCCGAGUACUUCCUUGCGGGACACUGUACGUUAUGGGCAGAAAAUCAUAUUUAACAUUAAUUAAACAAAAGGUAGACUUUUCGUGAACAAAGAGCAAAUUUUCAAACCAUUAAAGCAGCAGACCUGAUGCUGUAGUUCCGAGGAUUUUAGGGUCACAAGGUCAGGUCGCAAUGGCCACAGAGGCUAUUACUUCAAAUUAAUAGAAGUUGGUUGUGUAAUAUAUUCUAUAUUUGGCAAUCAAUUUUGUGCAGUCAAAAAUCCCAUCAGUUUCUAUCAAAUUUAGCAUUGCCCACUACCUAUACUUUUAUUGUUCCAGUCACGUAGGGUCUUUUUGAUUAAGAAAAAAAAAACCUCUACUGUAUUAUUGUUUGAAAAGUGAUUUUAUAAAUAUUAGAUCAUUUUGAAAUUAAUGUAAAGUUUUUCACAGUGUUCCACAAAUAGUUAAAACUGACUAAAAGUCAUGCUUAAUUAUUAAUACGCACAUGAUAAUUUGACUUUGAAGUCUUUUUUCUAAGUACAUGUAUGCAGUAGUGCGUAUCCUCAGAUUCUGAUCCAAACAAUGUGUUAUUUUCCAAUUUCCACAUACAAGUGCAAAAAAAGAGAGAAAUUUUAAUCACUUAAAAUCUUUGUGAAACACCUCAUUGAGUUGUAUCUUCAAGUCAAAUGUUCUAGGGACAGUGAUAUUUCAUUCAUUAGCAAAUCAAAAUGGUAAAUCUGUGUUCUUUAAUUUUCAUGUCUGUAAAAAAUCAAUGAAUUUACCUUUGACAAACGGAAUUUGUUUUUGCUGUGUACAUUUUAAUGACAAAAUGGAUAAUCCAUUUUAGAUCAAAUUUUCAUAAACCGGAAAGACCAUUUAUAAAACCGAAAAUUACUGUCCCUAAUGUCAUGUCAAAUAGCUUGGACCUGCCCUAUACAUGUACAUGUGUAAAAUUUUCAGUACUUUAUACUUACUUUGUAUUUUUGCAUUUCUUUAUGAAAAAACUGAUGUAAGACCAGCAGCCGAGAAGAUUCAUUCAAGUUGGAGGACCAGAGCAUUUGACCUCAUUGAUUGCUGGGGUAGGCCCUAGACCUCACAAACAUGGCCUGCUGUCUGGUUUGAGCUGGGAUCUUCCUGCCAAAAUCACACAAUAUGUGACAUCACUACCAAGAGUUCUAUUUUUCAGUGUGCAGAGGAGGGCACUUGACACUGGUGUGCGUGGUAUACAACCUCUAGAAUGUAAGUGCUUUAUUAAUGAUUUCAAUGAUAUUUUGUGUAGCCGAGAGUAUGUGAGACAAUGCAAUUGGUUUUCCAGCAAUCAUUACUGAGGGCAUUUCUGAUUAGUUUUGGAGAUAUUGGGCAGCAAUUUUACCAACAUUGGGCUUUUUAUCCACGUUUUGCACUUUUUGAUUUAAUUACAUUCUGUGUAAUCCCUGGAAUGAUAUUCUUUGUAUUUUGAAAAUCAGUCAAAAUAAUACAUUCCUGAUGGAAAAUUUGAUAAAUUUGUAGGGGCUUUUGUUGAUCCAUUGAUUGCCAUCUGUAUUUUACCUCCCUGUACUAUAUGUAUUUAUCUGCGCUACCUCUUAAUUCAUCUUUCACAUUCUUGCAACAUGAUAUUCGCCAUGACUGAUAUGAUAAUGUGCUGAGGGGACAAAAACAAUUUUUUUUUCAAUUUUCAAUUAUUUACAUACUUGAUCUCGUUAUUUUUUUAAAUUAAUUAUUUAAUUAAGUAUUGUCAAUUAUUUUGCAAUAUAUUUAUUCCUGUGUUCUGUACAUGUCAAUGUUUUAGACAAACCUAUCAGAGAUACUACUAGUAUUCAAAACUUUAUCUUGAUCUAUUCCCCAUUCACCAUAAAAUUCAUGUUUGUGACGUUUGCUGAGUGUGUAUCCAUCAUGAAAUCAAAGCAAUGUGUAGAGAUUUAGUGGCCUGCAUUGGAAUGACAUAGUGAUGAGGGUGGCUUCUCGAUAUCGGUUAGUCCGCAAAAAAAAUCAAAUGGAAAAAAAAAUGUAUUUACUCAAUUUUGGUUAUCAAGUUUUAACCCAUUUUUAUGAGGAUUGUGUGCUUCAAUGGUUUUUCCACAAUGUGUAAAAAAAAAUGCUCCUCAAUUAAAGCAAUACAUGUACAUGUUAGUCUGAAAUCCAGUUUUAGAAGUGCAAUGUCAAAUUUUGAUUUCUUUCCUGCCAUCAGUUGUCAUUUACUUCUUGAUCCAUAUUACAAGAGCCUUGCCAUUGUAGUGUUUCUAUUUGACCCUUGGUGAGAUUUGUAUUAAGACUUGCAUGAUUGCUAAAUUUCAUCAAUGGAGCUGUUUAGCAAAGACAGCUUUGGGGCCUUGUGGCAUUGAUUAAGAUCGUUCAAGAACCAGUUUGUACUCAGAAUUGACCCAGGUAUCCAUUUGGUCUGCACAAGAAGAGAAGAGAGGAACUGUUGACCUAUCUUUGAACACAGCACUGCUGGCUCUCGGAAAUUUGGUUCAGUUACAUACAUAUUUUUAUUUGGUGUUUGGAAAUCUUGUUAUGUCAGGAUAGCUCAGGUGUUGUCUGACCAAGAUGAAUGGUGUCCUUUUCAGUUUACUUGUGGUAUCCAGAGCUCUUCAAAACUUGCACAUUAUCUUUUGUGUGAAAUCAAAUGCUGAUAUCUUAUGCAAAGCUGCCAACCAGUAAAUUUUUGCCAAAAUUAGUAUAUUUUUUCCAAACAAAAUAUGGCAUUUUGUUUUUCUUCAUAAAAUGAAUGAAAAAAAAAUCAUGUCAUUGAGAAAAUUACCUCUGUGUAUAUCUCUAUUUCAUAAAACUUAUACAAGUAUGGUUCAUGGGAUAAACUUAAUUUCAGGUAACUUUCAUCUAACAGUUUUUUUUUUUUUUCUUUUUCCAAUCAGUAAACUUGAACCAUUUUGUUAAAUCCACAGUGAGAUAGCAUUAUUAAUUCUAAUGUUUUCAGUUUACAAGAGCAGUGCACAUUUUGGCAUAGAAUACAUUUCCCCCCCCCCCUUUUUUUUUUUGGGGGGGGUGAACGAAAAUACAGUUUGGGGAUCAAAGAAUAUAAUUAUUCAUUCCCAGAGGUUGGCAGGUUUGUUUAUUAGGUGCUGUGCCUUUGAUUGUUUUACCAAAGUAUGAUGCCAUGCUUAUGGUCUGAUGAGGAUAUUAAUUGUUUCGUUUGCUAGACAUCAUGGCACUCUGAUAUGCAUAGCCCUCGUCAUCUAAACUUAUCACCAUCUGGGAUUGUCUUUUUCUGAUAUCCAAUGAGAGUGUUGGCUUCUUUGUGGUCGCAUGUGGAUAGAGACCUAAGUUUUCCAUUUUCUAAACUGCCGAUUCUGUGUCCUUUGUUCUAAACAUCACAAUCUGUGUUCAUCAGUGACAUAUCCCUGGAUAUCUUGCACCAUCUGCAUUGUAAAAUCUUUCCUGGGAACUUGCAAGUCUUUCAGUGUCUUUAUAAUGAUGUAUAGGUCAUAUUUGCAGACCAUCAUAGAGCUGGUUCCUGCUUCUUUAUUGUUCAUCUUAUCAGUAUCGGGCGAGGUUGAAGGUUCUCAGCCACGUUCUUGGGCUUGACAUGAGGUGCUGACCGUGCUGUAGGGCUGUUCAUCCGCCUUCUGGUCCUUGAGUGUUGCAAAGAUCCACCCGAUCGUCCAAUUCAUGUUUUUUCAAUCAUUGAAUCGUCUGGCAGUUUUUCCCUAGGGAAGUCGUAUCCUGUGUGAACGAGAAGUGCAUUUAUUCACUUGGCUGGAGAGAGGUUACAAUGUUCAAGAAGGCAUUUGGUGGAACUUGGCAUAUCUGAUUUGGUUGAUCCCAUUGUCUUUCAAAUUCACAUUAGCUCUUUUCUUGGCUUAAAAAAGAGCUGCUUCAUGACCCAAGAGGUGACCUGAGAAUCUUGAUUAUGGUGAUUGAUGAAAGAGGCUUCAAAGGAGAUUAUUUUUCUGUUUAAUUUCUUCCAACUGGAGAUUUCAUUGGAUGCCAUCUGAAAUUUGACAUUGCUUCCCUAGACCCUUUGGCUAAGAAAUGUUUUUUGCUUUCAGUCUAGAACGAGUUUGUGAAGUUUAAUUGGGUGCUGUCUGUGAAAAUUUGACAUUGCGCUUCACUACUAGGGUUCAUACAUUGUACUGUAAUGAUUGAUGGAGCAUUAUAAGUUAUUGUGGGAUAUAAAGUGCACUUCCUCUGGAUUAGCCUAUGUUGAGGGCUCGAUAAAUAGAUCUAGAUUCACUUGUCGUUUCAUUGCCUUGCCUUGUCUCUCAGAGUUCAUGGUGGAGUGAUGGAGAAGUAGCAAUCACAAAUAUUUGAUUCCUGUAUGGUGGUGAAUGAAUUCAUAUGGGAAAACAAAAAAAGCAUAUAUAAAAAACGUCCCGUCCCCCCCCCCAAAAAAAAAAAAAGUGUCCAUGUUGGUUUCUUUCUAAAUAUUUGACCAACAUGCAAUAUACAUUUGAGUUCAUAAAAGAAUUGCAUCAUGUACAGAAAGGGUGUAUUUAUUUGCAAAAUUGUUUCAUUUGCACAUUUGAUAAGAAAGCCCCCCCCCCCUCAAAAAAAAAGAUUAAUAAAUAAAUAAAAUUAUAACUAUGAUAAAUAACUGAUAAUAAAUGAAUAAAAUUUAAUAAUAAAUACCAAAUUAAUCAAUUAAAAAAAUGAAAUUUAAAAAUGAAAAAGAAUAGAAAGUAAUUUUAAAAUUAAAUAUGAAAAUGAAGAAAAAAGAUGUUAAUGUAUAAAUUAUUAAGAUAAAUGAAAUGAUACAAAUACAUAAAUAAAUAAAGAUAUAAAAGUAAUUUGUAAUAAUACUCAUAAAUUCUAUUUUUUAAGAAUUUAAAAGACUACUUAAAUAUCAGUCAUGGCUAGUAAAUGUUGAAUGAUGUGAAAUGAAGGCAGAUAUGGGGAGUGUUUCAUGGAGAGGUUUAUCAGUGAUUUUCACUGAUUAGCUCUCAGCCAAUCAGAUGCAAGGAUUUUUAGUCGGUGAAAAUCACAGACAGAAAUCUUCAUGAAACGCUCCCUAAGAUGGACAGUACAGGGAGGUAUGGAGAAAGGUCACACUCAGUGGAUUAACUGGUAUAUAUGUAGAGGGGAGGGGGUGGUAAUGAAGAAGAGGGUUUUGUUCUAGACCAAUUCUGGGGGGGGGGGGUAGAAAAUCAAUGCAUUGUCUUGCAUACAUUUGGCUACACAAAGUAGCAUUGAACUUGGAAAUAAAGCACCUACAUUAAAGAUGUUGUUUGCCAUGCAUGGCAGUGUCCAGUGCCUUGCUCUGCACACUGAGGACUAUUGGUGGCGCUGUUACACAUUGUGUGAUUUCUGUCAAGAAGACCUCAGCUCACAUUAGGCUGUUGGCCAUUUUGUGAGGUUUAGGGGUUUACCCCAUUGUCUCAAGAGGUCAUUUGCUCUGGUAACCUCUUUACUUGAAUGAAUCUUCUUGGCUGCUGGUCAUUUUUUUUUGUAAUUAUUUUUCUUUGACAAAAUUGAUAAUAAACCCCUUUAAAAAUGAAAAA